CUGCAGCUCAAGUGGUAGCCGCUAUUAUUGGGCCUAAAACGUUCGUAGCCGGUUUAGUAAAUGCUUGGGUAAAUUGUGUCGCUUAACGAUACGAAUACCGGGUAGACUGCUAAACUUGAGACCGGGAGAGGCUAGAGGUACUCCUGGGGUAGAGGUGAAAUUCUGUAAUCCUAGGGGGACCACCAGUGGCGAAGGCGUCUAGCUAGAACGGGUCUGACGGUGAGGGACGAAGCCCUGGGGCGCGAACCGGAUUAGAUACCCGAGUAGUCC
rnacentral:rRNA from 1 species